GAAAGGAAGCAGAUUUCCCCCAGUUUUCCAGGAGCACUCAAGCGCGGGACCUGGGAGGCUUUUAAAGAAAGGAGAAGAAAGGCCAGCUCAGUGAAGGUGUGGGGACAGACUACAGCAGUUGCCUGCUCCUCAGCUCAUAAAUUGAGGGACUGGCCCUGUGUGAGCCAUCAGCUACGUGAGAAAUUGAGAUGCCCCCCUUUCCUGCCAUCAUCUUCAGUCUACCUCCAGUACAUACAGUCUUAUGGCCCUGAGACUGCAUCUGAGCAACAGCAGAACCAGACUUGGAAACUGAGCUUUCUGUGUGAUGAUUGGAGUUAAAAAGGAGAA
rnacentral:lncRNA from 1 species